UACAGAGGUGGCAAGCGUUGUUCGGAUUUACUGGGCGUAAAGGGCGCGUAGGCGGUCUUGUAAGUCUCGUGUGAAAUCCCUCGGCUUAACUGAGGAACUGCACGGGAUACUGCUUGACUUGAGUUCGGGAGAGGGAAGCGGAAUUCCGGGUGUAGCGGUGAAAUGCGUAGAUAUCCGGAGGAACACCGGUGGCGAAGGCGGCUUCCUGGACCGACACUGACACUGAGGCGCGAAAGCUAGGGGAGCAAACGGG
rnacentral:rRNA from 1 species